GCCUGGGUGGCUCAGUCGGUUGAGCGUCCGACUUCGGCUCAGGUCAUGAUCUCGCGGUCCGUGAGUUCAAGCCCCGCGUCAGGCU
rnacentral:tRNA from 1 species